UACGGGGGGGGUAAGCGUUGUUCGGAAUUACUGGGCGUAAAGGGCUCGUAGGCGGGCAACUAAGUCAUACGUGAAAUCCCUCAGCUUAACUGGGGAACUGCGUGUGAUACUGGAUGUCUUGGAUUUGGGAGAGGGAUGCGGAAUUCCGGGUGUAGUGGUGAAAUGCGUAGAUAUCCGGAGGAACACCAGUGGCGAGGGCGACUUUCUGGGCUGUUCUUGACGCUGAGGCGCGAAAGCUAGGGGAGCAAACGGG
rnacentral:rRNA from 1 species